UCAUCAGCACUGCACUCAAUCAUGUUUUUUUUGGGACAAUGUGGAAACUAUGUGUCUCUAUUAGCUUGAAACUGAUCAUGAAAGAACUUCAGGAAUGAAGCAUAAAAUCAGUGCCACGACAUAAUAGGUCGUAGCUUAUUUUUAUCAGAUAACUAGGAAUUAAGUUCAUUAUUUGAGCAAUAUUUCUCUCCCCCUCUCUCGUCCAUCACAUAGGAGUGGUGUGGGGUUGGUAAAUCUAAUAGACCAAUAUUUUUUCCCUUAAAAAGUAAUGCCAUUCCACUUUUUUUUAAUAUAGCACCAUAACUAUAUUUUUAUUUUGAUCAUGAAAGAUCAUUGGCUAGUAGGUUCUUUCAUUCAGGGCCAAAUUUUAUAUUGUAAAACUUAACCAUCCGAUGAAGUUUGAACUGAGCUAUUCGAUCUUGGGAAAAGGGAUAACUACAGAACAGCAAUAGAACUCAUCAGCUGCCAGAAGGAGGUUAUGGUAGGUAUGGGCUAGCUGUAAAAGGGGAACAAAGUGAGAAAAAGGUGCUCAUAUUUUAAUUUGAAUUUAUUGCGUCUUCAAAGAAGAUUGAGGCUGCAAGACUAGCUACUUUCCACUAUUAUGAGUAAUCAGAAGACCAGCUUUGAUGCUAAUUGUAGUUCCUUGAAAGAAUCCAUUCGUUUUUUUUUUUUUUCAAAUGCAACUGUGGUUAAAUUAUUACUCAUUUGUACACUAGAAUUUAACGAAAGAAUCAUCAUUGUUUCAA